rnacentral:misc_RNA from 1 species
AAGUCGUAACAAGGUUUCCGUAGGUGAACCUGCGGAAGGAUCAUUAACAUCUGCUUUGGAUUUGGGUGGUGUUGUUGGGUCAGAGAGCAAUCUCUUGCUUGAUUAACACCACCUCCCACCCCACUUGUGUGCAUUUUGCAGUGUUGAGUUUGUGCUGGUGGAAACACCUCCACUCUCUCUCUACUCUUUAUCUCAUUCUCAUUCAAAUCAAACCCCUUCUUAUUCCACACUAGUCUGAACACAAACACCUUUUUUCUCACUUACAAGGAGGAAAAAACCAAUCAGCAUACAACUCUUAGCAACGGAUAUCUAGGCUCUC